rnacentral:tRNA from 1 species
GCUGUGAUGGCCGAGUGGUUAUAGGCGUUGGACUUGAAAUCCAAUGGGAUCUUCCCGCGCAGGUUCGAACCCUGCUCGCAGCG